AGGGAAUCUUCCGCAAUGGACGAAAGUCUGACGGAGCAACGCCGCGUGAGUGAUGAAGGUUUUCGGAUCGUAGAACUCUGUUGUUAGGGAAGAACAAGUAUCGUUCGAAUAGGGCGGUACCUUGACGGCACCUAACCAGAAAGCCACGGCUAACUACGUGCCAGCAGCCGCGGUAAUACGUAGGUGGCAAGCGUUGUCCGGAAUUAUUGGGCGUAAAGCGCGCGCAGGCGGUUUCUUAAGUCUGAUGUGAAAUCUUGCGGCUCAACCGCAAGCGGCCAUUGGAAACUGGGAGACUUGAGUGCAGAAGAGGAGAGUGGAAUUCCACGUGUAGCGGUGAAAUGCGUAGAGAUGUGGAGGAACACCAGUGGCGAAGGCGACUCUCUGGUCUGUAACUGACGCUGAGGCGCGAAAGCGUGGGGAGCGAAC
rnacentral:rRNA from 1 species